rnacentral:rRNA from 1 species
UACGUAGGGUGCAAGCGUUAAUCGGAAUUACUGGGCGUAAAGCGUGCGCAGGCGGUUAUGUAAGACAGUUGUGAAAUCCCCGGGCUCAACCUGGGAAUUGCAUUUGUGACUGCACGGCUAGAGUGUGUCAGAGGGGGGUAGAAUUCCACGUGUAGCAGUGAAAUGCGUAGAGAUGUGGAGGAACACCGAUGGCGAAGGCAGCCCCCCUGGGUCAAGAUUGACGCUCAUGCACGAAAGCGUGGGGGAGCAAACAGG